rnacentral:misc_RNA from 1 species
UCCAGGAGUACUUCCGGAAGUUCAAGAAGCGCAAAGAGCAGGGCCUUGUGGGCAAGCCCUCCCAGAGGAACGCGCUGUCUCUGCAGGCUGGCUUGCGCACACUGCAUGACAUCGGGCCUGAGAUCCGACGGGCCAUCUCUGGAGAUCUCACCGCUGAGGAGGAGCUGGACAAGGCCAUGAAGGAGGCUGUGUCCGCUGCUUCUGAAGAUGACAUCUUCAGGAGGGCCGGUGGCCUGUUCGGCAACCACGUCAGCUACUACCAAAGCGACGGCCGGAGCGCCUUCCCCCAGACCUUCACCACUCAGCGCCCGCUGCACAUCAACAAGGCGGGCAGCAGCCAGGGCGACACUGAGUCGCCAUCCCACGAGAAGCUGGUGGACUCCACCUUCACCCCGAGCAGCUACUCGUCCACCGGCUCCAACGCCAACAUCAACAACGCCAACAACACCGCCCUGGGUCGCCUCCCUCGCCCCGCCGGCUACCCCAGCACGGUCAGCACUGUGGAGGGCCACGGGCCCCCCUUGUCCCCUGCCAUCCGGGUGCAGGAGGUGGCGUGGAAGCUCAGCUCCAACAGGUGCCACUCCCGGGAGAGCCAGGCAGCCAUGGCGGGUCAGGAGGAGACGUCUCAGGAUGAGACCUAUGAAGUGAAGAUGAACCAUGACACGGAGGCCUGCAGUGAGCCCAGCCUGCUCUCCACAGAGAUGCUCUCCUACCAGGAUGACGAAAAUCGGCAACUGACGCUCCCAGAGGAGGACAAGAGGGACAUCCGGCAAUCUCCGAAGAGGGGUUUCCUCCGCUCUGCCUCACUAGGUCGAAGGGCCUCCUUCCACCUGGAAUGUCUGAAGCGACAGAAGGACCGAGGGGGAGACAUCUCUCAGAAGACAGUCCUGCCCUUGCAUCUGGUUCAUCAUCAGGUAGCUCACACUUUUGGACAGGCCACUGUCACCUGCCAGCAGGCCAGACAGUCCCCAGGGUGACGGACAAAUCCUGAAGACUUCAGUGGGUCUUGCCUGUCUCAGAUGGCUGGCACGUCCUGCCCCUGCCCUAAGAGCCAUCCCUGUAGGGCUUCACACUCCUGUGCAGGUGAGGGCCACGGCAAGGUCUGCAGCAUCGCAGGUGGGGGCCUAGGAAGUGCUGGUGCACAGGAGCUCUUUGUGUGAUCCUGAGGACCCACAGCUGCAGGUUCCACCUGAGCUUUCUUCUUAGGCUGCCACAGAUGCCACUGACGCCUCUGACACUGGCCUAUGCCUCAGGGCACUCAGGAAGAUGUACUUGUACCUAGAGUUUGAAUAUACCUGGAAAUUUUGCCACACAAAAAUCCAUCCAGUGACAUAAA